AAUAAGGUAAAUAGAAGCAAUAACUUAAAUAAUUUAUAUAAUAUAAAUAUAAAGUACAAUAAUAUAUUUUUAUUAUAAUGUCAGAUUAUAAUUGAAUAAUAAUGUGAUGAUAUUAUGAUUAAUAAUAUAUUAUAAUAUAAUCUACAUUAUAAAUAUGAUAUAUAUGUGAUAUCAAUACAUUAUAUAUAUAAUAUUGAUAUAAUAUAUUAUAUAUAUUGAUAUAUUAAGUUUUUUCAUUAGACUGACAUUUUUGCCUUGAAAUUUCAGCCCAUAAUCAUUGUCCUAACGUGAUCUUGGAUACUCGACCUUAAGGACAAAUUUUUAUCAAUGGCUUAGGUGGUAAUUUGAGAAGUAUGGUUGAUUUAGAAUUGCUACCGUAUAUAAUUAUCAUUUUGCAACCAAAUAUGAUGAUCUCAUCGCCUCCAUUCAUAUCAUCCCUUGCGCACCAAAUCAAGUACCAAGCAUGGUUUCUAACCGAGGAAACUCACCAGUGAUCUUCAACUUAGGAGACUUUUAAUUUAUAAACAUUUCAGUAGUUACUAAAUCUUUUGCAUGAAUAGUGGUAUUUUGUAUAUAUAACUCAAUGUUUGUCAAUUUUAUAAAUAUUCAAGUAAAAAUAUUGCUUAAUGAGUAUGACCACCUAAUUAUAUGUUUCUAGAACAAUGAGGACAUGCAGUGAACAACUGAGGGAAAAAUAGUAUUAGACUAUAAUAUAUCUAAAUUGUAGAAAGCAAUGUUACAAGAUAAUUAGAUUUUAAUUUGUUUGUAGUCUUGUUCUAACUAAUCUAACUAAAAUUUCAAUAAUUCGGCAAAAUCUUCCAAAUCUAGCGCACUUCCCAAUCCCGUGUGAUCAUGCCACUGGAUCUGAAAAAAUAGAAAAAAUAAGAUAAUGAGUUACACUAGCCCAGUAAGCAACAUAAUACCCCAAAGUGGGGUCAAAGCAUGCCACAUAUUUAAUCAAAGCACAAAAUCAUAACUGAACAAUAAAUUACAUAUAACAUAUUUUUCUUUUCGAAACUUAUUAUCAUUUUCACAAAAUCUCUGAUACCAGAAUUCCAACAUCAAUAGGCAAUGACCACGUAACCCAGUGGCAUGGAUCGCACAAAGUGUUAAAAGCCAUUAUUGUUAACCAUCAGCGGCAACAGUAUCCAAAAACUACUAUUCUAAUAACCGGUGGCAACAGUGUCCAAAAGCCACUAUUCUAAUCACCGGUGGCGCGGUGUUGAAACCGGGUCCUCAUAGAUUACAAGUCGAUAGGUCCAACGAAUAAUCCCCAUUGACGGGCCAGAACAGAUCAUAGCCAUGCUGAGAAAAAUACAUAUAAAAACAGAUUUUAUAAGUUGCCCGGUCAUAUUUUACAGAUUUCAGGGAUGUAACAAAAUUUUUAAAUUAUAUUUAAUAUGCUUGACUCAUGAUACUAAGUACAAAAUAUAUUUCGAAAUUUAAUUAACUAAUAAUUAUUUUAUCGAAUAAUUUUAAAAAUAUACUUUGAAGUAUUAGGUUACUUAUUCUUCUCGCUUAAAUCCUACUUCAGGUAAACAGAUUAAGUUCACAUGUUUAGAUGUCAUUAAAUAUAAUUAAUUGCUUUGUUAAUUCUAGAGCUAAGCAAAACAAAAUAUACUAUUAGGCACGGCCUAAGAUCCGAACUUGGCCCAUAUUUGACAGGACCCAACAUGCCAGCAUUAGCCCACAUUGGGCACGACCCAAUUGGGCCAAAUCUCAGCUCAUAAUUGGCACGGUCCAGUAGGGCCCAAGUUUGGCCCAUAAAAGGGCAUGGCCCAAUAAAACCCAAAGUGGCUGAACUGAGCCCAAAUUUGGCCCGCAAUAGGCUCGGCUUAAUAGGGCUCAAAGUGAGCCCAAGUUGGGCCCACAAUGAGUACGCCUCACAGGGCCCAAAAAAUAAGUGAAGUGGGCCCAUAUUUGAAUAAGGCCCAAGUGGCUGCUCACGGCCCAUCACGGCCCACAAUGAUAACAGGGGUGUCCUUCAUCCCGUUAGACUCGAAAAUAGGAAGGAAGGAGGAGAGGGAAGAGAGGUCCGGUGGGGUGGCCGCUGCAGUGGCUGGCGUCGAGGAAGACCGAGAUCAUUCUCGGUUUGGCCGAAACAGGGGAAAGGGAAAACAUGCUUGAUUCGGCUAGAUCGAAGAGCAAAAGGGAAGGGAGCUUACUGGUGGUCGACGGAGGUGGCGGAUCUCAGCCGAGGGCGGCUCGGUCCGGCGGCUAGCGGCUGCGGUGCUCAAAACAGGGAGGAGGAGAGAAAAAGAAAGGUAGGUCCACGGGGAAAAAGGGAGGAACUUCGGCGGCGGCACUUGGCCAAGGCGCACCCCGGUCACCGGAGAAGAGGAAGGAGGAGGAGGAGGUUCGACGUCUUCUCCAGCGCGAAAUCAAGGGAGAUGAUUCGAGAUUGGAACUCGAAAGGUUCGGAAAAUCCGACGAGAAUAGUUUGGGAUUUGUGAGCAAAGCUUGAGGGAAGAGGGGAGGGGCCUUUAUAGACCGAGUCUUAGGGCUUUUACCAGAGUCCGGCGAGCCCUAAGAAGACUCCUCCGCGACGGACCCGGGGAGGAAGAAUAAGACUCCAAUUGGGAGUCUUCCUCCCCUCCUGGAUCACUUGUUGGACGCGUGGCCCAAACGGCCGGCCCAAGCCCAACAGGCUAGACCAGGCC
rnacentral:lncRNA from 1 species